CAGAAUAUAUAGGGAGAAGGAUGCUGGGGAUGGAUUCGCCAGCCAGGAGGAGAAGAUGAAGGCCAAAGAGGAGGUUUGAGGAUAUGGUGAGGAGGACAUAGAGGUUUUUGGUGUGACAGAGGAAGAUGUAAGGGACAGGGUGAGACAGAGAUAGUUGAUCUGCUAUGUUGACACUUAAUGGGAGUAGCCGAAAGAAGAAAAAGUUGGAGAACAAAACUCAGGCAUGAAGUCGAGUGCUGCAUG